rfam:Pteropus alecto contig25364, whole genome shotgun sequence.
GUCUACAGCCAUGCCACCCUAAACAUGCCCUAUCUCGUCUGAUCUCAGAAGCUAAGCAGGGUUGGGCCUGGUUAGUUCUUGGAUGGGAGACCAACUAGGAAUACAAGAUGCUGUAGGCA